AUUGAACGCUGGCGGCAUGCCUUACACAUGCAAGUCGAACGGCAGCGCGGGAGCAAUCCUGGCGGCGAGUGGCGAACGGGUGAGUAAUAUAUCGGAACGUGCCCAAGAGUGGGGGAUAGCCCGGCGAAAGCCGGAUUAAUACCGCAUACGCCCUAAGGGGGAAAGUGGGGGACCGCAAGGGCUCACGCUAGUGGAGCGGCCGAUAUCUGAUUAGCUAGUUGGUGGGGUAAGAGCCCACCAAGGCGACGAUCAGUAGCUGGUCUGAGAGGACGACCAGCCACACUGGGACUGAGACACGGCCCAGACUCCUACGGGAGGCAGCAGUGGGGAAUUUUGGACAAUGGGGGCAACCCUGAUCCAGCAAUGCCGCGUGUGUGAAGAAGGCCUUCGGGUUGUAAAGCACUUUUGUCCGGAAAGAAAUCCCCUGGGAUAAUACCCCAGGGGGAUGACGGUACCGGAAGAAUAAGCACCGGCUAACUACGUGCCAGCCGCCGCGGUAAUAC
rnacentral:rRNA from 1 species